AACGAACGCUGGCGGCAUGCCUAAUACAUGCAAGUCGAACGAGAUCUUCGGAUCUAGUGGCGCACGGGUGCGUAACGCGUGGGAAUCUGCCCUUGGGUUCGGAAUCACGUCGGGAAACUGACGCUAAUACCGGAUGAUGACGUAAGUCCAAAGAUUUAUCGCCCAAGGAUGAGCCCGCGUAGGAUUAGCUAGUUGGUGGUGUAAAGGCCCACCAAGGCGACUAUCCUUAGCUGGUCUGAGAGGAUGAUCAGCCACACUGGGACUGAGACAAGGCCCAGACGCCGACGGGAGGCAGCAGUAGGGAAUAUUGGACAAUAGGGGCAACCCUGAUCCAGCAAUGCCGCGUGAGUGAUGAAGGCCUUAGGGUUGUAAAGCUCUUUUACCCGGGAUGAUAAUGACAGUACCGGGAGAAUAAGCCCCGGCUAACUCCGUGCCAGCCGCCGCCGUAA
rnacentral:rRNA from 1 species